CCCUUAGAUGUUCUGGGCCGCACGCGCGCUACACUGAUGCAUUCAACGAGUCCAACCUUGACCGAGAGGUCCGGGUAAUCUUUGAAACUGCAUCGUGAUGGGGCUAGAUUAUUGCAAUUAUUAAUCUUCAACGAGGAAUGCCUAGUAAGCGUGAUUCAUCAAAUCGCGUUGAUUACGUCCCUGCCCUUUGUACACACCGCCCGUCGCUCCUACCGAUUGAGUGUGUUGGUGAGGAGUUUGGAUUGGCCUCGGAAGGUGGUUCCCCACCGUCCGUAGCUGAGAAGUUCUCCAAACCGCCCCACUUAGAGGAAGGAGAAGUCGUAACA
rnacentral:rRNA from 1 species